rnacentral:lncRNA from 1 species
CCGGGGCAUCGGGGGCCCUCCUCCGAACAUGCCCGAACCACCUCAGCCUCGCUUCUCUCAUCUUCUCGUCCACCGGGGCUACCCCUACUUUCUGACGAAUAACUUCAUUCUUGAUCUUAUCCAGCCUGGUGUGCCCACACAUCCAUCUAAUCGUCCUCAUCUCUGCAACCUUCAUCCUCUGAACAUGCGAAUUCUUCACGGGCCAGCCACAUACAUCCUAAGUAAUAUUUUUAAAGGUUGUUUAAUUGACUAUGAAUUGAAUGGAGAAUGCAGGAGCACAAGAGUGUUUAGGCUUUGAAAGCAUUUGAAAAAUGGUCGAAAAUGUGUCUAAGUAUAAUUUUUGCAAAUUGCAAAUUACCUAAGACGGCUAACUUUUCAAAUGUGAAGGUUUUGUCGCAUUUAAGACCCAGCUUAUUUUUGGUCACCUUCGCAUUUGCGAGGGACCAACAAUUAGUUCAUGAGUUUGCAAUGAAUUCUGCAGUAAACAAUGAUUAUCAGA